rnacentral:rRNA from 1 species
AUGCCUCUGUUCACCUCGGCUGCUCUAGAUGUUGGCACGUACGUCUGCGGCGUCGGUGGAUCUAGCUAUUGCGUCGUGCUCACUCCUCAUGUUCGACGCGGGAGGUGGUGGCAUCAGAUCUUGCCCCGCCUCGCCUGUCGCUACUCACGGCAGGUGGCGCGCUUCAUGGUCAGGAAUCCCCUAUCCUCGCCCCUUCGCCCACACGACACAGGUCAACCUCCCCGCCUCCGCCAUGAUGGCCACCAACAGCGCCGCACCCGUCGCCACGUCGAAGAGGGGCGCCUUCACCAUCUUCCUCUCAGGUGGAUUAUCCAUCUAGGACCUCAGGAAGUCGGGGUAGCCGCCAUACCUGGAGACAGCGGACUGGAGCAAGUUGAAGACGAUCUAGGUUGGCGAGAUGGUCGUCCCAAAGGACCAUGCGGAUAG